rnacentral:lncRNA from 1 species
CUGACCUUGAACUUGUUAUCCUCCUGCCUCAGCCUCCCAAGUCACUGGGAUUAUAGAUCUGAGUCACCAACCCCAGCUUGAUUUAAAAAAUUAACAGAAAACUUGAAUAGACAUUUCUCCAGAGAAGAUAAAAAAUGGCCAACAAACAUAUGAAAAGAUGUUCAACAUCACUAACUAUUAAGGAAAUGCACAUCAAACCCACAAUGAGAUAUCACCUCACAUCCAUUAGGAUCACUGUGAUACUAUCAAAAAUCAAAAAAUAGCUCAGGGGAAGAAUGCUUGCCUAGCAUGUACAAGACUGUGAGUUUGAUCUCCAGCACUGCAAUAAAUAUCAACAACAAAAAAAUAUAAAAUGACAAGUGUUGGUGAGGCUGUAGAGAAAUUGGAUCCCUUGUGCACUGUUGUUAGGAAUGUAAAUGCCACUGUGGAAAACAGUAAUGUUUUCUCUCAAAAAAAAUUUAACAGAGGGGCUGGGGGUGUGGUUCAGAGGUGGAGCGCUUGCCUAGCAUUCAAGAGGCACUGGAUUAGAUCCUCAGCACCACAUGAAAAUAAAGAUAUUGUGUUCAUCUAUAACUAAAAAAAAAUAUUUAAAAAAAGUCAACAGAGUAUUACAGUGUAAUUCAGCCAUUCCACUUCUGGAUAUAUACCCAAAACAAUUGAAAGCAGGAUCUUCUGCAGAUAUCUGUAUGUGAUAUCCAAAAGCUGGAAGCAGCCCAAGUGUCUGGUUUUUUGGUUUUAUUUUUGGCUAAUAGGGCUUGAAACUAUUGACACUCUCCACUGAGCCACAUCCCCAGCACUAUUUUAAUUUUUUAAACUUUGAGACAAGAUCUCACUAAGUUGGUGAGACUGGACUUGAACUUGGAGAAUCCUUCUGCGUCAGCCUCCGGAGUCUUUGGGACCGUAGUUGUGCACUGCCCCACUUGGCCCAAGUGUCUAUCAGUGGAUAAAGGAAUAAACAAGAUGUGACAUAUAUGAACAAUGGAAUCUAUAUCAGCCUUCUUAAAUGAAAGGAAAUUCUGGUAUAUGCUAUAACAUGGGUGAAUAUGGAGGACACUGUGCUCAGGGAAUCAGCCAAUAACUGAAGGACAAAUGCCAUUAGAUUCCACUCUUCAAAGUACCAAGAAGUCAAUAGUCAAAUUCAUAGACAGAUUAUAGGAUGGAUAUAGGAUGGUGGUUGCUAGGAGUGGUGAUGGGGAGGGAGAAAUAGAAUGGGGAUUUCUUGUUUCAUGGGUAUAGAGUUGUAGCUUUGCAAGAGGAAAAAAGUUCAGGAGAUGGAUGGCGGUGAUGGUGCCUAGCGUGAGUGCAUGGAAUAUCACUGAACUGUUCACUGAAAAAUGGUUAAGAUGGUAACUAAUAUGUGCAUUUUACUGCCAACAAUAAAAAACAGCCCAGUGCGGCAGCACACGCUGCUUGGGAGGCUGAGGCAGGAGGAUCUCAAGUUCCGAUCCAGCCUCAGCAACUGUAGCAAGGCUCUAAGCAACUCAGUGAGACCCUGUCUCAAAAUAAAAAUAAAAUGAGCUGGGAAUGUGGCUCAGUGUUCAAGUGCCUCUGGGUUCAAUCCCUAAUACCAAAUAAAUAAAUAAAUAAAUAUUAAAAACCAAGACCUGGCAAUUAAAAACAUAAUCUUUGUUGUUAUCUUUUCUAUCGGAUAGAAAUUAUUUCUAUCUUCAUUGGGCAAGAUCUGCAAAUAAAUAUGUAACUUCAUAGAAUCUGGGUCCUUAUGAGUAAAUAGCCAAAUCACAGGGAGAUAGAUUCCCUGAGGUAAUUAAGCAACCACUGGGUAGGAUUGUGAAACAAUGCCCAGGACGAGGCUGGCAGAACAUGCUGUACUCUGUUAGCCUUAUUACCAAGAUUUGGAUUAUUAGUAUUGUUUUUUAGUAUCAUAGUCAUUUAUGUCUGUGUUUUUCCACUGACUCUCUUGAGGACGGUGACUAUGUCUUGUUCAUCUUAGCCUCCUCACCGUGUGCUCUGGCCAGUUGAACUUCAAGACUGAGCACCAUGGCCUAGUGGGCUGGGAACAGUAGACCUGCAUUGUCAUUGUUUCUGUGACCUUGAUCAGAUCUGUGAUUUCCUGGAGCUAUGCUACACUCACCCAUCAAAGGAUGAGCUUACUGGGUGCAGUACUGGGCCCUGGGGUGCUGUCUGAUCUCUGGGUUUUCUUCCAGGUCUACAGAGUUUGGAUUCUGAUUUGGUCUAAUCAUUCACACCUAAAAGGAGUUAACUUCACACAGACACCUAAACCAGAUGGAUAAUGACUAAGUAAAGAGCUUGUUUUGGGUUUGUGCAACACCCAGAGGCAUUUUUUUUUCUUGCUUUUCUUGGAAGAAGCAUCCUAGAUGUUAUCUAAGCCUGUGACCCUGGCUCCUGGGCUAGGACACUGUAGGAUGAGGACGUGUGAUUUUGUAACCUAGCUAGAGAAGAAACAGCUGUUUCCUGGUGGCAGGACUGUCUCCUCUCAGAAGCUGGGGGCCCUGGGUAAGCAGGCCCUGGAGGAGACAGAGCUGGCGUCUGAGCCUGCCCUUGAGGAAGGAGCAAAUUACCGUCUAAUUAAGAAUUCAUGAGACUCUUGUCGCUGUUUUCAAUUAAUUUCUUGACAAAUUCUGGCUGUCCCUCUUGUUUUUCUUAGGACAGGAGGAGUCCUGGCGAUCCAGUCAUGAGCUCUGGGGAGCUCUUGCUGAAAUUAAUUUGAGUGCUUUGGAAUGAGAUUUACACAGCAGAGAGGAGCCGGCUGGGGCUACUCCUCUUGGCAGGCGCUCCCAGGGCAUUGGAGAUGUUGUCACUUCUUUUCCCAUGAUGUGCAGUGUCCUCAAAGGCCUUAGGAGCUAUGUCCUGCCUUAACCCAGCCUGCCCCCAUGUCCCUUGUGCCCCUGCCAUGGAGGUCCUUCUACUUCUCUUGGCCUUGGCUCUCACAGGCUGACCAGCAAAUCCAUCCUCUGGCCCCCGCCCAGCCCAGCUUGGGCUCCAACUUGCAAGCACUGAUGGGGCCUUCAGGUAUCCGCUGCCUGCAUCAGGAGGUGAGUCCCAGACUCCUGCCUGUCAGCUCGCCUUCAUCAUGGCCACAGGUGGGACUGGAGACUUGAUGCUGGGACCCACAGGUCUCUGGUGUUUUUUUCUCCAUCCCCCAUCCUUGGGUUGGAAGAUGGUGAGGGGGAGCUGCCCAAAUGAAGCAUAUCCUUGGUUCCUUGGGGCUGCCUCACUUCCUCUCUAGAUCCUCAAUCUCCACCCACAGAGAAAACCAAGAAUCUCUUCCCGGCACCAUAUCCAUCUUUCCCUGACUGUUAAGCAUUCC